rnacentral:lncRNA from 1 species
GAAACAGCCAUUUCACAAAACACCAAAGCUGAAUUUCUUCACUAGGAAUUCCAAGAAAUGUUAAAGGAUGUUCUUAAGCCUGAAGGAGAAAGAUACCAACCACUCUGAAACUCAAAUCUUUGGCCUCCUCCAUCCUUUCUCAGGAUCACUUCAUUUACCUUUUUAUCAAUAACUCUGAAAAGACACUAGACGCAUUUUACUCUCCACUAUGGUACUCAUGCUUGUUAUACUCUCCGUGGAAUCCCCAUUAGCAGGCAUUGUUGAGAAGCUCUCUGCCUGAAUGAUGGGGUUGAAGCUCUAGCCUGGGAGAGAGAAUGGUUUGUGGCUGGUGUCUCCUCUAAAUGGCAAGUAGGUGGCUACAGAAAACUAAAAAUAACUAUGGGUCCAACUCAGGAUAAGAGGGACAUUACAACUCAAGGACACUUGUCUGAAAAUAUCUAAGUGAUAAAAUAUAUUUUUAAACGUUGUUUUCUGAAUGAUUAUUGCCACUGAAAAAUAAUAGUAGCAAGCCACAAGAAAAGUUUUAUUUGGCUAAAGUCUCUACCCAAGCCCAGCUCUGAC